UGAAGGGCUUUGCUUCACUAUUGUUUAUCGUGCUUUUGGCAAAUGCCUGGAGAGUUGAAUCGUGUCAACCACCACCACCACCGAGACCACGACCACCAAAAGUAAUUUCUAAUAGCGAAAAUAACAUUGCAAAUAAUAAUAACGUUAAUAACAAAAACGAUGUUGAUAAUGAAAAUAAAUCUAACAAUACUAACAAUCUUGUUGGUGUAAAUAACAAUCCGAUUAAUAUUGUUUUUGGAAGUUUUGGAGCCCAAAGAAGAAGUCUUGCCAAGAAGCACAAAGGAUUAAAGCUUAAGGUAGUCCUGCACUAUAAAUGAGCGAUUCUGAAGUGUGAAUCCAAAAAUAUAGCAUAUCUAAGAAGUCUUGACGAUAAGCACAAAGGAUUAAAGCUUAAAAUAGUCCUGCAC